CCCAUCCCGAACACGGAAGUUAAGCUUCUCAGCGCCGAUGGUAGUUGGGGGCUCUCCCCCUGCAAGAGUAGGACGUUGCCAGGC
rnacentral:rRNA from 1 species